rnacentral:rRNA from 1 species
GACGUAGGGGGCCAGCGUUGUUCGGAAUUACUGGGUGUAAAGGGUUCGUAGGCGGUGCGGCAAGUUGGGAGUGAAAUCUCUGGGCUUAACCCAGAGGCUGCUUCCAAAACUGCUGUGCUUGAGUGUGGGAGAGGCGCGUGGAAUUGCAGGUGUAGCGGUGAAAUGCGUAGAUAUCGUAAGGAAGACCAGUGGCGAAGGCGAAUCUCUGGACAGUUACUGACACUGAGGCACGAAGGCCAGGGGAGCAAACGGG